AUGUACCCGCUCCUUCCAUGUCCCUCCAGACAGAGCUCGAUCCAGCCGACUCGGGCUCGUCCCACCGCUGCGCAAGGCCCAGCUCCUCCCGAGCCGGCUCCUCUCCACUUCGCCAGGCCCAGCCGAUGGCCAAAUCCGGCUCCGUGCACCCCAGCCCAUCACCUCCGAUGGCCCAAGGCCCAGGGUGAGCAGCCCCUGGUUUUUUUUCUCUAUUCGUUGGGCCAGCCUUCAUAUUUGGCCCAUAUCAUGUUUUUUCCAGCGCCUGCGAAUUUAGUAUUUGUUCCAGAGAACACAGUUUUACAGAAAAGUCCUUAUUCAUGCAUUUAA
rnacentral:rRNA from 1 species